UGAGACACGGCCCAGACUCCUACGGGAGGCAGCAGUGGGGAAUAUUGCACAAUGGGCGCAAGCCUGAUGCAGCGACGCCGCGUGAGGGAUGACGGCCUUCGGGUUGUAAACCUCUUUCAGCUCCGACGAAGCGCAAGUGACGGUAGGAGCAGAAGAAGCACCGGCCAACUACGUGCCAGCAGCCGCGGUAAUACGUAGGGUGCAAGCGUUGUCCGGAAUUACUGGGCGUAAAGAGCUCGUAGGCGGUUUGUCGCGUCGUCUGUGAAAUUCUGCAGCUUAACUGCAGGCGUGCAGGCGAUACGGGCAGACUUGAGUACUACAGGGGAGACUGGAAUUCCUGGUGUAGCGGUGAAAUGCGCAGAUAUCAGGAGGAACACCGGUGGCGAAGGCGGGUCUCUGGGUAGUAACUGACGCUGAGGAGCGAAAGCGUGGGUAGCGAACAGGAUUAGAUACCCUGGUAGUCCACGCCGUAAACGGUGGGUACUAGGUGUGGGUUUCAUUUCACGGAAUCCGUGCCGUAGCUAACGCAUUAAGUACCCCGCCUGGGGAGUACGGCCGCAAGGCUAAAACUCAAAGGAAUUGACGGGGGCCCGCACAAGCGGCGGAGCAUGUGGAUUAAUUCGAUGCAACGCGAAGAACCUUACCUGGGUUUGACAUACACCAGACGCAGUCAGAGAUGGCUGUUCCCUUGUGGUUGGUGUACAGGUGGUGCAUGGCUGUCGUCAGCUCGUGUCGUGAGAUGUUGGGUUAAGUCCCGCAACGAGCGCAACCCUUGUCCUGUAUUGCCAGCGGGUUACGCCGGGGACUUGCAGGAGACUGCCGGGGUCAACUCGGAGGAAGGUGGGGAUGACGUCAAGUCAUCAUGCCCCUUAUGUCCAGGGCUUCACACAUGCUACAAUGGCUGGUACAGAGGGCUGCGAGACCGUGAGGUGGAGCGAAUCCCUUAAAGCCAGUCUCAGUUCGGAUUGGGGUCUGCAACUCGACCCCAUGAAGUCGGAGUCGCUAGUAAUCGCAGAUCAGCAACGCUGCGGUGAAUACGUUCCCGGGCCUUGUACACACCGCCCGUCACGUCAUGAAAGUCGGUAACA
rnacentral:rRNA from 1 species